rnacentral:rRNA from 1 species
UACGAAGGGGGCUAGCGUUGCUCGGAAUUACUGGGCGUAAAGCGCACGUAGGCGGCUUUCUAAGUCGGGGGUGAAAUCCUGGAGCUCAACUCCAGAACUGCCUUCGAUACUGGAGAGCUUGAGUCCGGGAGAGGUGAGUGGAACUGCGAGUGUAGAGGUGAGAUUCGUAGAUAUUCGCAAGAACACCAGUGGCGAAGGCGGCUCACUGGCCCGGUACUGACGCUGAGGUGCGAAAGCGUGGGGAGCAAACAGG